rnacentral:rRNA from 1 species
AUGUCUUACAGUAUUUCACAUCAUUUGUGCAAUUGCAGUUUAACUUCUACCAUUUACUGGUUGCCUGUAUGUACACAUGUCAGUGGCACUGAUCCACGCUUCGACCCGAAGGAACAGCUCGCCUCCGCCGCCGCUGACUUUGGACGGGUUCUGGCCAAGAUGAAGUGCCCAAGCAACUACCUCUCAGGACUUAUCAAGUAUGUACUCACCAAUUCAAUCUUACCAAUACCAGUUGAGAUUAAUGGCUAUGUUUUAUAUGGUCGAUGUAUUAAGCAUGUUGUAGUAAACAUGCCUAACAUGUUUUAG